rnacentral:rRNA from 1 species
GACUGAGAUACGGACCAGACUCCUACGGGAGGCAGCAGUAGGGAAUUUUGCGCAAUGGACGAAAGUCUGACGCAAGCAACGCCGUGUGAGGGAUGACGGCCUUCGGGUAGUAAACCUCUGUAGAGUGGGAAGAAAAGCUUUGUGGUUAAUAUCCACAGAGUCUGACGGUACCACUCGAGGAAGCUCCGGAUAACUAUGUGCCAGGAGCCGCGGUAAUACGUAGGGGGCUAGCGUUGUUCGGAAUCACUGGGCGUAAAGGGAGUGUAGGCGGACCGGUAAGUUAGGAGUUAGAUGUACGGGCUCAACCCGUGAUCUGCUUUUAAUACUGUCGGGUCUUGAGUAUGGGAGAGGGAGAUGGAAUACCAGGUGUAGCGGUGGAAUGCGUAGAUAUCUGGAAGAACACCAGUUGGCGAAGGCGGUCUCCUGGAGCAUUACUGACGCUGAGGCUCGAAAGGCUGGGCGAGCGAACAGGAUGAGAGACCCUGGUAGUCCCAGCAGGUAACCGAUGGACAACUAGUGGCCGGAGGAAGUCAAUCCCUUCGGUGACGAAGGCUAACGCAAUUAAGUGUCCCGCCUGGGGAGUACGCUCGCAAGGGUGAAACUCAAAGGAAUUGACGGGGGCCCGCACAAGCGGUGGAGCAUGUGCUUUAAUUCGAUGCAACGCGAAGAACCUUACCUGGGUUUGACAUGGGGGUGAAAGUUUCCAGAGAUGGAAGCCUUUCCUUCGGGAACACCCCACGCAGGUGCUGCAUGGUUGUCGUCAGCUCGUGUCGUGAGAUGUUGGGUUAAGUCCCGCAACGAGCGCAACCCCUGCCCUUAGUUGCCAUCAGGUAAAGCUGGGAACUCUAAGGGGACAGCUUGGUAUAACCAGGAGGAAGGUGGGGAUGACGUCAAAUCAUCAUGGCUCUUACGCCCAGGGCUAGACACGUGCUACAAUGGCAGGUACAGUGGGAUGCCAGCCUGCGAAGGUGAGCUAAUCCCUUGAAACCUGUCUCAGUCCGGAUUGGAGUCUGCAACUCGACUCCAUGAAGUUGGAAUCGCUAGUAAUCGCAGGAUCAGCAUGCCGCGGCGAAUACGUUCCCGGGCCUUGUACACACC